GGAAUAUAAGAACCCGUCUCUUAACUUUUAACUAAAAAAACUAAGAAUCGGUUCUUAAAUAAGAGUAUUAAGAGCCGGUUCUUAACUUUUUUAGUUAAAAGUUAAGAGACAGAUUCUUAUAUUCU
rfam:Brassica oleracea var. oleracea cultivar TO1000 chromosome C1, whole genome shotgun sequence